UACGGGGGGGGCAAGCGUUGUUCGGAAUUACUGGGCGUAAAGGGCGUGUAGGCGGCCAACUAAGUCCGACGUGAAAUCCCCAGGCUUAACCUGGGAACUGCGUCGGAUACUGGAUGGCUUGAAUCCGGGAGGGGGAUGCGGAAUUCCAGGUGUAGCGGUGAAAUGCGUAGAUAUCUGGAGGAACACCGGUGGCGAAGGCGGCAUCCUGGACCGGCAUUGACGCUAAAGCGCGAAAGCCAGGGGAGCAAACGGG
rnacentral:rRNA from 1 species